CGCCCCCAGGUGGCUGACAUCCAACUCAUGAGCGAAGCCGCCACCGCUUUGUUUAAAUAAACACACGUCAAAGGGGCAUCGGCAUCAGAGCGAAUCGCCGAAGGCACUGCCAUCUCAUUGAAGAGUUUAAACAACGAGUCGCUACCGCGUCUCUUGAUUAAACAUUUAACCGUUGACGAGGGAGCUCAUUCGACGAACACCUGUUGCUGUGAAAAGACAAAAUGGAAAUUGAUGAGCGCCAGCCAAAUAAUGUUGCUGACGGCGACGAUGCCGAAGAGAGGCACGAUAUGCCA